GUGGAUUAGAUACCCUGGUAGUCCACGCCGUAAACGAUGAGUGCUAGGUGUUCGGGGUAUCGACCCCCCGGGUGCCGCCGCUAACGCAGUAAGCACUCCGCCUGGGGAGUACGGCCGCAAGGUUGAAACUCAAAGGAAUUGACGGGGGCCCGCACAAGCGGUGGAGCAUGUGGAUUAAUUCGUCACUAACCGAAGAACCUUACCCAGGCUUGACAUCUGAGGCACCGGCGUGAAAGCGUCGUUCCCUUCGGGGACCUCAAGACAGGUGUUGCACGGUUGUCGACAGCU
rnacentral:rRNA from 1 species